UACUCAAUUUAUAAGUUUUAAAUUGCAUGUGAUUCUGAGUAGCAUAAUAAAAUGUCACACAUCUUGUCCUGCCCUAUCAAGGCACAGUGUGUCCACACUGUGUGAGAGACGGACUCACCUGGCAUGUACUUGGCAACCAAUGCUAAUGUCAACCUGUCCCUACCUUAUUUAAUGAUAGCUCCGAGGCAACACUGUAGCAAUAUAGGCUGCACAGACCCCACAGCCGUAGAUUGAUUCCUUUCAAGGAAACCGUAAAAGUUCCCAACUUUAGAAGAAAGAACUCUCAUUAGCCCAAGGUUGCUACAGUUUCAAGAGUAAAAACAAAACUUCUGUCUGUGGAAUUUCAAAGAAGAGGAGAGAAGUCUGCGCUAGCUUUCUUGUGGCAUAAAGUGUACUGGUCACGGUGAGGAGACAUCCCGUUGUGGUGGAUCGGGACACUGUGUACUUGGCUUGGAUGGAGAGGCCAUGCAUUUGUGCGUUUAUGUGUAGGGAAAGUGGUAAGUGUUCAGUUAUUCACUGGGGGCUGGGUGGGGCAGUGGUUAAGGGCAAUCGUUGAGGCAUUUCACACUCACCUGCAAUGCGUGAGACACUUUGGUAGGUUCCUAAGAGAGGGUAAGAAGCAUAAUGGGAGCCUUGGAUCAAAAACACCGCCUAUAAAAUUGGGAAGGUCAGCAGGUAUCCAGGGAAAGUCAAAUUCGCAACGUGGGUUUGAAUUCCUCUUGGAGAGUUGGGUGAUGGUGUGUAACUGCUAAGAAUGCUAAUGAAGUCCAGAGAGAGCAAUCCAGCAACCAGCUGGGGCUGACUUCUGACUGCUGGCCUAUGAAGAGUCUGGAACGGGGAUUUUCACAGAAGAGAGUGCACGUGUGAACCAGAUAUGGCCAGCCUCUGAGGAACAGACUCGAAAGGAGAGAGUGCCCUUCCCGUGGGUGCAGUCAGAAACAAUGUCUCCCAGCUCUUAGCAGAGCAGGUUUUCUAGAGUCAUAGUUCUAAUCGUUGUGGACUGACCUGUGUCCCAAACACUCAAGCUGAAAGUCUAGCCCCUGGUACCUUGAAAGGUCAUUUGAACACAGAGAGACACCAGGGAUUGUUAUGAGAAGAUGAAAGUCCCUAGGAAGACACAAGGAGAAGACAAUUGUAUACAAGCCAACGGGGAAAGAGCGGACGAGGAACCAGACCUUCCGCACCUUGAUAUUGGACCCACUGCUUCUGGAGCUGUGAGAGAGAACACUCUCUUGAAUAUCUAGUAACCUGGCAAGAGAAAACUCUGGACCAUGGCUAGGACUUGGUACCUGUCAGUCUUCCUGGAGGACGCUCUGGCUGAGCCUUUCACUGCAGGAACAUGGAGCCUAUUUCUGAGAGAGAAGACACCGAAAGCAUAGCAGCGUCAAGGUAGUUUGUGAGCUACAGGAUGGAAAGCAGCUGGUCGUCUUCACUUAAGGACCUUGCCUCCGUGUCUCAAUACCACACUUCUCAUGAGCAAAGCUUCCCAGAGAAGCUGGACAGGAACGCAGGGGUCCUCCUAAUGCUACCUUCUCCAACUCUAAUGAGAAGGAUUUACCUCAACCAGCAGGGAUCCAGAAGUCCACGUUGUUAAGUGCACAGCCCAUGGGGUGGUUGUUCUUAGGAGAGAGGUCUAUUAAUCCUCUCCUACCAGGUCCAACCAUGGUCAUUAUCCAUAGUCUUCUCAAAGAGGACAGUCAGCAGUGAGGUACUACUCAACGGGACAGGAGCCUAGAGAUACUGUUGCUGUUUAGGACAGAUGACAUUUACUUCAGGGGGAACUGAUCACAGUCUAACCAGCCUUGAGUAUAUCUGAGAGACAGAAGGGCCCCAGAGCUCUGCAAA